AGUCGCGUCGGGCCUCCCGAGGGGGCUGCGAGUGUCAGUCGGCUCUCCGCACGUGUCCGCGGCCUCGCGGAGCAGCACUGCAAGCUAUUUGGCAUAUGAAGGUCUUGACCUGAGAAAACCAUCUUGGAUAACUGCAGCAAGGAAAAGGAAAAAUGCAACACCUAGGAGAUUUCAGUAAACAGUAGAAUCAUGCCAACCUAAUCUGUGUUAAAAUGCUUGGAAUGUGGGAGCCGCUGAUGAUGCCUCUUGUCUGUGUGUCUGACUGAAUCCUUUCUUUUCUCAGAGCAGCAAAGCAAAGCCUGGGAACCAGGCCAAAUGCCUGCCACUUACCUUAAAUUGAUCAGCCACUUUGAGAUUAAAACCCCUGAAAGCUGCCACACCGUGAAAACAAGGCCUCCUUCACAUUAAAGGCAAAUUGC
rnacentral:lncRNA from 1 species